GCAUCCGUACUUCAGUGGUGGAAUUCUCACCUUCCAUGUGGGAGACCUGGGUUCGAUUCCCAGACAAUGUA
rnacentral:tRNA from 1 species